rnacentral:rRNA from 1 species
AUACGGAGGGGGCUAGCGUUGUUCGGAAUUACUGGGCGUAAAGCGCGUGUAGGCGGAUCGUUAAGUCAGGGUUGAAAGCCCGGGGCUCAACCCCGGAACUGCCCUUGAUACUGGCGAUCUAGAGUCCGGAAGAGGUGGGCGGAAUUCCCGGUGUAGAGGUGAAAUUCGUAGAUAUCGGGAGGAACACCAGUGGCGAAGGCGGCUCACUGGUCCGGCACUGACGCUGAGACGCGAAAGCGUGGGGAGCAAACAGGAUUAGAAACCCCAGUAGUCC